UACAGAGGGGGCAAGCGUUGUUCGGAAUUACUGGGCGUAAAGGGCGCGUAGGCGGCGUGCUAAGUCGAACGUGAAAUCCCCGGGCUCAACCCGGGAACUGCGUCCGAGACUGGCAGGCUUGAAUCCGGGAGAGGGAUGUGGAAUUCCAGGUGUAGCGGUGAAAUGCGUAGAUAUCAAGUGGAACACCAGUGGCGAAGGCGAGUCCCUGGAAAACUCCUGACACUGAGGCACGAAAGCUAGGGGAGCAAACAGG
rnacentral:rRNA from 1 species